rnacentral:lncRNA from 1 species
CUUUUAAAAAGAUUUGCAUGCCUCUCCACGGGGCAGAGAAAAACUCACAAUGACAACUUUUCUCAAGUAAAAGCCCUAAAAGAAAGGAGAGGGGCCUCUUUCCCUUUUUGCCCCAGGGAAAAUGAUUUAUGUAUUUAAAAAAAUUUUUUUAAUGUGUAUUCAUUUUUGAGAGACAGAGAGACAGAGCAUGAGUAGGGGAGAGGCAGUGAGAAAGGAAGACACAGAAUCCGAAGCAGGCUCCAGGCUCCAAGCUGUCAGCACAGAGCCUGACGCUGGGCUCGAAUUUACGGACUGUGAGAUCAUGAUCUGAGCCGAAGUCAGAUGCUUAAACAACUGAGCCACCCAAGUGCCCUGGUUUACCUAUUUUUUCAAUUGACUUUUGCCCUUUGCCCCUGCCCCCACCUCUCUUGGCAGGGCCCAGGUUCUCUGUCACCAGAGUGGCUGUUGGAAGGUGACCUAGGAGAGGGGCAGGGGACACCCUUGGAAUGGGGCUUCUCCGGGGCCGAGGUGAAGAGCAAGAGGACACAGCUAUUUGUGAGACGGCAGCGCUGGUGCUCCUGAGGCCUCCGCGGAUGGAGGGUGGCCUGGCGGGCGCGAGUGCAGACCGGGCCGGUGUGAUGCGUGGACGCCCCAUGGGAGCUGGGGCCUGACACUGACCUCGGUGAGCAGAGCCGCCCACCGCUGCCGUGUCACUGUGCAGGCUGAGUCUUCGGGGUGUGUGUGUGUGUGUGUGUGUGUGUGUGUGUGUGUGCGCGCGCGAUGCUGACAUUACCAUAAUUAUAGGAAGACCAAGGACAGAUGGUUCCAGACGUUGCAGCAGAAGGAACCUUUUCCCAGGUAAACUCAUAAGGAGAAUCCUAACGCAGGCAUGAGAGGAAGGGUCUGCCAGGGCCCCCUCCCCGACCUGUGGCGGCUGCUGAGGUACCCUGGGGUCUUAGGGAAGAGGUGGCUUUGACCCUGGAGGACAGGGGCCCCGGGAGACCAGGGAGCCUCUUGGCCUGCAGCCACAUCCUUGCGGCUCUGGGCCUCCCAUGGACUCCUGCCGCCUGCUGGCCAGGCUUAGAGAGGACUCUUCCUGGCUGGCCAUAGUUUCCGGGUAAUUAAGAGCUUACCUUUGUUGUUGUUGUUGUUUUUAACUAGAGAGAGAGAGCAGGCAGAGGGGGGAGGAGAGAGAGAGAGAAUGAAUCUCCAUAAGUGUGGGGCCCAAUGCAGGUCUUUUUCUUUUUAAUUUUUUUGGUUUAUUUGUUUUUGAGACAGAGACAGAGCCUGAGCAGGGGAGGGGCAGAGAGAGAGAGAGGGAGACACGGAAUCCGAAGCAGGCUCCAGGCUCCGAGCUGCCAGCACAGAACCCGAUGCGGGGCUCGAACCCAUGGACCACGAGAUCAUGAC